AAACUUAAGGGUCGUUUUCGGGUGGAUGCUAUAUAAUGGAAGAGAUUGAAUCUCUACAUGUGGUUGAUAGACCAUCACUCCUAUUCUUGUACUCCUGGGGUUGAGGUACUCGGUUAGGGAGUAGGAUUCUCUCCCCUCUUAUUCUCAUCAAGCAGCAAGUAUCACAUCCAUAAUCAAAGAAGCACCCUCGGCAUCGUCUUCUAUCCGCAAAGUUUCAUGCUCCACACAUCACAGAUUUCUCACUCCGAUUUUACUUGCAGAAUAUUUAACCUCACCACUCCCGGCCAAAGCUACUUGUGUCGUUCAUUGGGAAUCAAACAAAAUAUUUAAGUCGGGUCUGUUAUCCCAUAGUCAAGAACACAAGUCUUAGUAAAAGUAAACACAUCAUGACAGGAAGAUACAUCCAUCCAAUGUGAUAGAGGAAAAGGAAUGGAAAUUGCCCAAGUGAUGCUUCAGCGCAAGUCUUUUCUAUGCAAAGACUUUGAACAAACCCUGGCUGACUCUUCCUGUUUACCUUUCCUUGUUUGCGUUUGCACACCAUUGUCACCCCUAUUGUACGUCCACCAUGUAUGGACUUGUAAAUAAGUUGUGCUAUUUUCCAUAUUGCCAAUUGGUUUUAUGGUAGAACAUUAACUUUUUUUAAGAGAUUCGCCAACAAUCUACAUUCCGGUGAAAGAUAUCACCAUAAAAUGUGGCUAUUCCGGCAGCAUAUUCGAUCACUAUGAUAAAUGAAAUUGGAAUGGAGAUGCUUACUUAAACAUUUUCUCCAUUAGAAGCACACCAAGCAGUUGGUAUCACAUCCAUAUCCAAAGCACCACCUUCAAUGUUGUCGUCCUCCGUCCGCCAAGUGCCAUACACCACAACACUUGUAUCAUAGUAGCGUGCAAUUCUUCAUUAGUUCAUUUUCCUUCAAUUCUUCCAGAUGAAGUUGGGCUUUCCAGGACCACCUGUCCUGAUGGAGAAGAAGGAUUUCCUAGUUGAUCUGUCAUUUUUAACAAAUCUUGAAACGAUUCGUAUUUUGUCCUCUUUUUGACACACGAGAUUGAAACAGAAAUCCCACCGGGCGUGCCAAAACUAUGUUCGUGGCUAGAAUUUCCGUCGGGGAUGCUUCCUAGCCGACAAGCACACAGCUCUCCGAGAGGUUGGCGCCAGUUGAUGGUUUCUGUCGGGCUUCUGCUUACUGGCGGGCUUGUCGGGCAAAUCUUGUCGGGUAAGGCUUGUUGGGCAAGGCUGAAAGAGAAGGAUAGGGUUAACUUUGAAAGGUGCCUUUGUAGGGCCUUAGGUAUAGGCCUUGAGGCUCACAAUCAAGAUUAACUUUUAGGUAUUCAGGCGUGCCACUGCCAUCUUUAGCAUGGCAGAUGUAAAACAGAUGUUGAGUUUUAAUUGUAUAUAUACCCGAGAGGUUGUUUUAGUUAUGAAAGGUGCAUUUGUGGGGCCUUAGGUGUAGGCCUUGAGGCUUCCCAUCAAUAACUAACUCAGUACUCGAACAUAUAAUGUCUAUUUCAUUGGUUGCAGAAGUGUUAUGACUAUUAUACUUCUAAUUACCCGAGCCCGAAGAGCCAAAUGCAUCCAAAUAGGUGCCUUUGUAGGGCCAUAGGUAUAAGCCUUGAGGCUUCCCAUCAGAAUUACUUCUAUACUCAAAUGUUCUACGAUAAUCAUAAUAUAACAGAAAUAAAACUUAGGAAAUCGGUCGAUUACUUGCGCCCCAAGUAACUUCUGACUUCUUGUUAUCAAAGACUGUCGUGGAUGGGUUAAGUCCACAUAAGGUUCUUUUUUAUGCCUUGAGACCAAGGACUUUUGAAUGAUCAAUCUUACAUGCCCAAGGGUUUAGAACUUAGAUCUGAUUUAAGUUGUGACUACAUAUUCCAAUCGGAAUCAAGGACUGAGGAGUCUUUUAAUCAUCAACUUGCUGGAACUAACUUGGAUACAAAUGGAAGUAUACAAUAUAUUACUAGACUUAUGAAUGAAAAGACCAAAAAACAAAGAGGGUCGGGCAAGGUUUCACCUUGUCAGGCAAGACUGGUCGUCUUGCAACUUCCUAUCAUGUGAUUUAUGGAGGGGCUUGAGAGCUUUAGAAAGAGGGCUGGGGAGGUGAGUUUACAUAAGGAAAUCGAUACUACAACAAGAUUUAUGCAAGGUAGCAAAACUUUUACAAAGGCUUUGGGUGAGGGUUGAUCCCGAAAGGGAUGAAGGUUUGGGCUGACUACAGCUUCGUUGAAAGCAAAUCUGGCUUGAGCAGAGUUUGUGUUUGUAUUUGUUUGUUUGUUUGAGUGACCUCAUCUCUGAUUUCUCUUUCUUCUUUUAUAGGCAGUUUGGCUUGGCCUCAUGUAGCUUUAAUCUUGCCCGAAUGCAGCUUGAAGGGCAAUGACUCAUCAACUUUUUACUUGUACUGCCACUGUAAAGUGCUUUUGGGCUGAUUAGCUGGCUGGUCUACACCACUUGAUCUCUAGGUAGGUGAACAAGUAGUGCAAAUGAUCUGCAGUCGGAAAAAAGCCCUUUUCUUCCUUCUGGGCUUUGGCUGGGCUUCGGGCCCCUUUCCUCCUAGUCCUCUUGUUGGGCUGACUCCCUUUUGAGCCCAAAGUUCAAGUUUUAACCCAAACAACCCUCCCAUUGAUAGCCAAAUUAAGAGCACUCCAGUAGACUAAGAACCGGCUAUAUGGGUUCUCCAGUAGGUUGUACAGAUUGAACAAACUGUAAACAAAAUGCUUCAUCUGGACUUUCAGACUUUGUAACAACAUUGCGGAUAACAGUGAAUAUGCACUCAAACAUCUGGAAGGAAACAAAAAUACAUGAAUUUGUGUAUGAUGAGCAUUGACAAAACCGUUCAGAUGCCAUUUAAUUGUCGUUAUUAAUUGAAUAAGUUGACACUACGUCCAUAUCGUCUAAUAUUGAUAAUAAGAACGUUUUAAAGAAUAUUAGCAAUUUCAAUUUCUACAAGGGUAAGCAUCUAUGUAAUUCACCAAAAACGCAUGCAGAAUUUUGAAGUAAUUAGGCUAGGGAGCUUCAAGUAAACAAUCUUUCAAAUUUUGUCAAAAAUUGAAGAUAAAAAUGAAUUAGUCGUGAAGGAAUAUUAUCCCCUCCAAAUUAAGUUAAAUAUCUUGAUCAGUACAUUAAGGAUGCUUAAUUUUCAAGUGUGCAGAAAGAAUGAGUGAAGCACAAAUAUCUCAAGUGCAGAUUUAAAGAUCAUGCUUAAUUCAGCAUGUAGUAGAGGUUCGACAUCAACGACAUGCUAAAAACUUAAAGGUCGUUUUCGGGUGGAUGCUAUAUUAAUGGAAGAGAUUGAAUCUCUACAUGUGGUUGAUAGACCAUCACUCCUAUUCUUGUGCUCCUGGGGUUGAGGUACUCGGUUAGGAGUAAGAUUCUCUCCCCUCCUAUUCUCAUCAAGCAGCAAGUAUCACAUCCAUUUUCAAAGAAGCACCUUCGGCAUCGUCUUCUAUCCGCAAAGUUCAAUGCUCCACACAUCACAGAUUUCUCACUCCGAUUGUACUUGCAGAAUAUUUAACCUCACUACUCCCGGCCAAAGCUACUUGUGUCGUUCAUUGGGAAUCAAACAAAAUAUUUAAGUCGGGU
rnacentral:lncRNA from 1 species